rnacentral:rRNA from 1 species
UACGUAGGCGGCAAGCGUUGUCCGGAAUUAUUGGGCGUAAAGCGCGCGCAGGCGGUCCUUUAAGUCUGAUGUGAAAGCCCACGGCUCAACCGUGGAGGGUCAUUGGAAACUGGGGGACUUGAGUGCAGGAGAGAAGAGUGGAAUUCCACGUGUAGCGGUGAAAUGCGUAGAGAUGUGGAGGAACACCAGUGGCGAAGGCGACUCUUUGGUCUGUAACUGACGCUGAGGCGCGAAAGCGUGGGGAGCAAACAGG